rnacentral:rRNA from 1 species
CCUACGGGAGGCAGCAGUGGGGAAUAUUGCACAAUGGGGGAAACCCUGAUGCAGCGACGCCGCGUGAGUGAAGAAGGAAUUCGGUAUGUAAAGCUCUAUCAGCAGGGACGAAAAUGACGGUACCUGAGUAAGAAGCCACGGCUAACUACGUGCCAGCAGCCGCGGUAAUACGUAGGGGGCAAGCGUUAUCCGGAUUUACUGGGCGUAAAGGGAGCGUAGGCGGCGUUGUAAGUCUGAAGUGAAAGGCUGGGGCUCAACCCGCGGACUGCUUUGGAAACUGGAAGGCUAGAGUGCAGGAGAGGAGAAUGGAAUUCCUAGUGUAGCGGUGAAAUGCGUAGAUAUUAGGAAGAACACCAGUGGCGAAGGCGACUUUCUGGACUGUAACUGACGUUGAGGCUCGAAAGCGUGGGGAGCAAACAGGAUUAGAUACCCCUGUAGUC